rnacentral:lncRNA from 1 species
GGCCCUGAGCCCCCCAGCAAUGGCAGUCCCCCGGGGACUUGUGGCCCUGAGCCAGGGUGCUGCCACAAGUGGCACAUGAAGUGGCAUCCUCAACCCCCUUCUUUGCUGACUCGUGAGGAAAUUGGGGCUUUCAUGGUCCCAAAAAACAAUGUUGGGCUGGGCCUGUGCCCACUCAGUGCAAACUUUGUCCCCAGAGGUGCCACCAAGCUGGGGUCGUGGGGAUGUGCAGUGACCUGUGUCCUGCAAAGCCAGCGCCCGUGCCCAUGUCCCAACCUGGUGGCCACCCUAAGGGAGUUUGGAAGCCUCCAACACUGCCAUCAGAUGGUGGCACCAGGAUGGCCUCGCCAGGACAACAGCACCAGGACUGGCCUCGCCCGGGUGACAGCACCAGCAUGGCCUCACCGGGAUGGUGGCACCAAGACUGGCCUCACUGGGAUGGCUUUGCUGGGAUGGUGGCACUGGGACCAGCCUUGCUGGGAAGGCACCAAGAUGGCCUCACUGGGAUGGUGGCACUGGGACUGGCUGUGCCAGGCUGGCACUGGGAUGGCCUCGCCGAGCUGGCACCAGGAUUAACCUCACCAGGACAACCUGACUGGCCUCGCUGGGAUGGUGGCACUGGGAUGGCCUCGCUCUAUGGUGGCACCAGGAUUAGCCUUGCUGGGAUGGCACCAGAACUGGCCUUGCUGGGAUGGCACUGGAGCUGGCAUUACUGGGACUGGCCUCACUGGGAUGGCACCAGGAUGGUCUUACUGGGACUGGCAUCUUCAAGACACUGUUGGGACUGGUCUUGUUGGGACUGGGCUCACCGGGACAGCGCUGAGAUGGCCUCAUUGGGACGGUGGCACUGGGACAGUGCUGGGAUGGCCUUGCUGGGAUGGUGGCACCAGGACACCCCUAGGAUGACCUCACCACAAGGGCACUGGGACUGGUCUUGCUGGGAUGGCCUCGCCUGGAUGGCAUCAGAAUGGCCUGGCCAGGAUGGCACCAGGGUGGCCUCACCGGGACGGCGCUGGGGUGGCCUCCCCAGCACCUGUGACCUGUCCCUGUCCCCACACAACUGCCUCAUUCAGGGCUGGGGGGACCCCAGACCUCCUCUCCUGCCCCCUCGGUCCUCAUGGGCCUGGGGGAGCUGGGGACUGGGGCUACCCACUGCAGGGCUGGAGCCCUCCAUGAGGGUUUCGGGGCCAUUGCUACUUUGGGGAAGGCUGUGGGUGCUGGAGGGCUCUGCUUGUCUCUGCACCAGCUCCUUUCCUCCCCUCAAAUUUCCAAACCCAUAAGCUGCCUUGACCCCUUUGAGGAAGACAUCAACC